rnacentral:tRNA from 1 species
GGAAACCACUUUCCUCGGUGGU